GAUGAACGCUAGCGGCAGGCCUAAUACAUGCAAGUCGAACGGUGUCUUCGGACAUAGUGGCGCACGGGUGCGUAACACGUAUGCAACCUACCUUACAUUGGGGGAUAGCCUUUCGAAAGGGAGAUUAAUACCGCAUAAGACAGUAGCUGGGCAUCCAGCAGCUGUUAAAGAUUUAUCGAUGUAAGCUGGGCAUGCGUCCAAUUAGCUAGUUGGUGAGGUAACGGCUCACCAAGGCAAUGAUUGGUAGGGGAACUGAGAGGUCAAUCCCCCACACUGGCACCGAGAUACGGGCCAGACUCCUACGGGAGGCAGCAGUAGGGAAUAUUGGGCAAUGGACGCAAGUCUGACCCAGCCAUGCCGCGUGCAGGAUGAAGGCGUUAUGCGUUGUAAACUGCUUUUAUACAGGAAGAAACGACUCUUGCGAGAGGCAUUGACGGUACUGUAUGAAUAAGCACCGGCUAACUACGUGCCAGCCGCCGCGGUAACAC
rnacentral:rRNA from 1 species